GGGGGUUCUCCGUCCACCGCCUGACUGCCUGCCGCGGCUCGUGCGUGGGGCCGACCACAGGCAGGGAGAUGGCGGGAAGAGAGAGGCACAAGCCUCCUCGCCCACUCAGCCUGUGCGCAUCCUGGGGAGAUGGGUUUACCCCUCCGGGAGUGUAUGCAGUGGCCUGUACUGUCCAUAAAAUGCUGUUGAGGAAAACUGAAAUGGGAUCUAAACAAGACAAAAACAAGGGUGUACUUCUACCAUGGUCGUAAGCCUCACUCAUAAGCAAGAGAAGCACCAGGAUCUAACAUUAUUGUUCAUGCGAGUUCAGAAUGACAAAGGUUGACAGGUGUUAAAGGUUAACAGGGUCCAAGAGAUUACAAGAAGAUAUAUGUCUGCUCAAUUAGGACUGACCUGGCUACACAUUCUCCAGCUAUCUCUUAGUUUGUGGAUGAUGUUUCUUACUCGUGACCACCGGGAGGCUGUAUGCUGUCUUAGCUGAGCUAACUGGAUGGAUGAGUAAAUUGCACCUUUUCAUGGGGAGGUGGGGGUGCCAGCCUUGAACUUGUGAUCCUCCUGUGUCAGCCUUCUGAAUGCUGGGGUUCAAAGCCUGGGCUGCUAAAGUGAGAAUACUGAAGCAGAUGGUACAUUCAUAUGUUUGUGAUGAUUAUCACCUUUUAAGAUUUCCAAACUUGAUAUGGUUAAUAUAUCUCACACAUUUAAUAAUUAUUAAAAUGUAUCCUUCUGCCAUGUCAUGCAACCCCUAACCAACUGUAAUUCCAACUUCAGGGGAUAUACUGUCCUCUUCUGUCCUCCAUGGAAACACACACACAUUCAUACACACAUGAACAUAUGUGUCUUUUAAAAAGUAAGUGUGCAAUUGGCAUCACAACCAGAAAAGCAUAAUUUGAAGAGAUGCAGCUGAGAAGCACCGUGAUAAUGUGGCCUUGACUCGCAGAAUGUUUCCUCAAGUGUUUCACACCAUUCUUCUUCAGUAGAAGGUGUUCAUGUGUUCCCUAUACAAAACAAAAAUAGACUGCUAUGUCUCCCUACAACCCCAUUGGAAUUCUGUAGUUUCUCCUGCCUUCUUUGACUUCUUUCAUUUUUG